UACGAAGGGGGCUAGCGUUGUUCGGAAUUACUGGGCGUAAAGCGCGCGCAGGCGGUCUUCCAAGUCAGUGGUGAAAGCCUGGAGCUCAACUCCAGAACUGCCAUUGAAACUGUUAGACUUGAGUACGAGAGAGGUGAGUGGAAUUCCAGUGUAGAGGUGAAAUUCGUAGAUAUUCGCAAGAACACCAGUGGCGAAGGCGGACUCACUGGCCCAUAACUGACGCUGAGGCACGAAAGCGAU
rnacentral:rRNA from 1 species